AGAGUUGAUCCUGGCUUAGGACGAACGCUGGCGGCGUGCCUAACACAUGCAAGUCGAGCGAGGAGAUCCUCGGGAUGAUCCUAGCGGCGGACGGGUGAGUAACACGUGGGCAACCUGCCUCAUAGAGAGGAAUAGCCUUCCGAAAGGGAGAUUAAUACCUCAUAACAUUGCAGUUUCGCAUGGAACAGCAAUUAAAGGAGCAAUCCGCUAUGAGAUGGGCCCGCGGCGCAUUAGCUAGUUGGUGAGGUAACGGCUCACCAAGGCGACGAUGCGUAGCCGACCUGAGAGGGUGAUCGGCCACAUUGGGACUGAGACACGGCCCAGACUCCUACGGGAGGCAGCAGUGGGGAAUAUUGCACAAUGGGGGAAACCCUGAUGCAAGCAACGCCGCGUGAGUGAUGACGGCCUUCGGGUUGUAAAGCUCUGUCUUCAGGGACGAUAAUGACGGUACCUGAGGAGGAAGCCACGGCUAACUACGUGCCAGCCGCUGC
rnacentral:rRNA from 1 species